rnacentral:rRNA from 1 species
GACGAACGCUGGCGGCGUGCCUAAUACAUGCAAGUAGAACGCACAGUUUAUACCGUAGCUUGCUACACCAUAGACUGUGAGUUGCGAACGGGUGAGUAACGCGUAGGUAACCUGCCUGGUAGCGGGGGAUAACUAUUGGAAACGAUAGCUAAUACCGCAUAAUAUUGAUUAUUGCAUGAUAAUUGAUUGAAAGAUGCUAUUGCAUCACUACCAGAUGGACCUGCGUUGUAUUAGCUAGUAGGUGAGGUAACGGCUCACCUAGGCGACGAUACAUAGCCGACCUGAGAGGGUGAUCGGCCACACUGGGACUGAGACACGGCCCAGACUCCUACGGGAGGCAGCAGUAGGGAAUCUUCGGCAAUGGACGAAAGUCUGACCGAGCAACGCCGCGUGAGUGAAGAAGGGUUUCGGAUCGUAAAGCUCUGUUGUAAGAGAAGAACGGGUGUGAGAGUGGAAAGUCCACACUGUGACGGUAUCUUACCAGAAAGGGACGGCUAACUACGUG